GCAGACCAAUGCUGCACAAAGUAAUUUAUAUAUAAAUACAUACUUUAAAUAUUUUUUUCUUUUUUAUUGUAGUAUACAUAUUUCUAUUACUUACUACACACACACACACAGAUAUAUAUAUAUAUGUGUGUGUGUGUGUGUGUGUGUGUGUGUGUCUAUAUAGGUAAAUGAAUGCAAAGCUAAUACAAAAACUAAAUAAAAUUACCAACAUAUUAAACAGUAUAUUCAUAUUUAUGCAGUAUUUCGGCAGAGUUUGGACCAGUGCAUGGAGCUGCUGGACUGAGCCAGAAGCAGGGCGUGCAUGGAGCUGCUGGACUGAGCCAGAAGCAGGGCGUGGGGUACAGACAGCAGACUGACAGGGUGCUUCAUUCUAGUGGGUCUGUCUUCAGUUAUUUAGACUCUACAGAGGGGAGCCAACAGCUUCCCGAUUGGCUGGAGAGGGAGCUUUUGAGGCAAGAACCCAGACGACACUCUCUUGCCCUGGGAGAUAUUGCUAAACUCAACAUGCGACAACGCUACAGAGCAGAUCCUACCGGCGCCCUCUAUGAGCUCAAGGUAAAAGUCAAAAGGUCACGCUUGUGCAGCAUCUGCUGCUUGACUGCAUUUCCCAACAAUUAUAUUCUACCUAGAAUGAAUGGCAACUUGCCCCAGCAUCAUCUUUCACCUGCCAAGGUAUGCAAAUGAAAUGUUAUAGCGAUAUAUGAGGGGGUUGGGCAGCUGGACUGAGGUACUCCUCAAAUCCAUAAUGUUGCAUUUGAAAUUAGAGUCAAAUAUAAUGUUUUAAUAUGAUAUUAUAAUAUAUGUAUUAAACCCCGCCCCCCUCCUCAACAGACUCCACCCCUCCUAUAAUUCUAAUCUUGUUGGUUAGCAUUUUUCAAACUCGUUGUUUUAACUGACCUGUAAACAGACCACAGAACAUCGACUUUAGAUUGAGCAGAUGGUGUCCAUUCGUGAUCUAAAGCAAAUUAAGCUGGCCUAUGAUGAGUUUGCAAAGGCUGGUAUCUAUAUGCUAGAUUAUGCCGAAUUCCAAUCUGUUGUGAAAAAAUGCCCAGGUUUGAAAUCAGUUAAAGAUUCUCAAAUCCAACAUCUAUUCAUGAAGAUUGAUUACACUGGCGAUGGCAAAAUCGAGUGGCAUGAGUUCUGCACAUAUGUAUACCUGGAAAACAAAGAGAAAGAAGAGACUGUGCGUCGCAGUAAGAUGGCAGCCUUCGUAUUACCAGCUAUCGUCAAGUCUCUACACCGCGGGGAGCCCGUUCUGAGAAUCCACUUGCCUCCUAAUGGCACCGUUGUGACUCUAAGAGAAGAUGGGGUUGUUAGCUUCUGGACCCCCAAGCUUUAUUGAAGAACAAGAAGAAUGUGUUUGUAGGUUACUUUUACAUUCUGGAUUUUUUUUUCU
rnacentral:lncRNA from 1 species